UUGAACGCUGGCGGCAUGCCUUACACAUGCAAGUCGAACGGUAACGGGCCUUCGGGUGCCGACGAGUGGCGAACGGGUGAGUAAUACAUCGGAACGUGCCCGAUCGUGGGGGAUAACGAGGCGAAAGCUUUGCUAAUACCGCAUACGAUCUACGGAUGAAAGCAGGGGACCGCAAGGCCUUGCGCGGACGGUGCGGCCGAUGGCAGAUUAGGUAGUUGGUGGGAUAAAAGCUUACCAAGCCGACGAUCUGUAGCUGGUCUGAGAGGAUGAUCAGCCACACUGGGACUGAGACACGGCCCAGACUCCUACGGGAGGCAGCAGUGGGGAAUUUUGGACAAUGGGCGCAAGCCUGAUCCAGCCAUGCCGCGUGCAGGAUGAAGGCCUUCGGGUUGUAAACUGCUUUUGUACGGAACGAAAAGCCGUCUUUUAAUACAGGAGGGUCAUGACGGUACCGUAAGAAUAAGCACCGGCUAACUACGUG
rnacentral:rRNA from 1 species